GGGGACAUAAGCUAAAACACAAAUCAUAUAUGGGUAACCCUGCUGAACCACACCCAACCCCGGAUAAGGAGUACGAAAAACUCUAGGAGCCCCUAUCCUACAACCCUGAUUCUAAACCUCCAGACUUUCCUAUCGAGGGUCAUGUCCUCGGAAACCUGCAUUCUAGUCAUGUCCUGCCUAAUCACCUCUCCCCAAUACUUCUUAGGCCUCCNN
rnacentral:lncRNA from 1 species